UAGGUUGUAUUCAGUGCUAGUCCUACUCAGCACAGCACCAUUGAAAUUAAUGAGCCUCUAAGUUAGUCAUGUCCAUUAACUUCAAUGGGUCUACUCUGAGUAGGACUAGCAGUGAAAACCACCCA